rnacentral:rRNA from 1 species
UCAGCUCGUGCCGUGAGGUGUCGGGUUAAGCCCCAUAACGAGCGCAACCCUUAUCGUUAGUUGCCAGCUGGUAAAGCAGGGGACUCUAGCGAAACUGCCACCGUAAGGUGAGAGGAAGUGGGGAUGACGUCAAAUCAGCAGGCCCUUAUGUCCAGGGCUACACACGUGUUACAAUGGCCGGCACAGAGGGCAGCUACCUGGUGACAGGAUGCUAAUCUCGAAAACCGGUCUCAGUUCGGAUCGAAGUCUGCAACUCGACUUCGUGAAGCUGGAUUCGCUAGUAAUCGCGCAUCAGCCAUGGCGCGGUGAAUACGUUCCCGGGCCUU